rnacentral:rRNA from 1 species
AUUGAACGCUGGCGGCAGGCCUAACACAUGCAAGUCGAACGAGUGGCGGACGGGUGAGUAAUGUCUGGGAAACUGCCUGAUGGAGGGGGACACCUACUGGAAACUGUAGCUAACACCGCAUUCCACCAGAUGUGCCCAGAUGGGUCUAGCUUGUUGGGGGGGUAACGGCUCACCCAGGCGACGAUCCCUAGCUGGUCUGAGAGGAUGACCAGCCACACUGGAACUGAGACACGGUCCAGACUCCUACGGGAGGCAGCAGUGGGGAAGAUUGCACAAUGGGCGAAAGCCUGAUGCAGCCAUGCCGCGUGUAUGAGGAAGGCCUUCGGGUUGUAAAGUACUUGCGGCGGGGAAGCGUUACCCGCAGAAGAAGCACCGGCUAACUCCGUGCCAGCAGCCGCGGUAAUAC